rnacentral:rRNA from 1 species
GACGAAGGAUUCAAGCGUUGUCCGGAUUUACUGGGUUUAAAGGGUGCGUAGGCGGAACUCUAAGUCAGUGGUGAAAGCUCUCGGCUCAACCGGGAAAUUGCCAUUGAAACUGGUUUUCUUGAAUACAGUGGAGGUAGAUGGAAUAUAACAUGUAGCGGUGAAAUGCUUAGAUAUGUUAUAGAACACCGAUUGCGAAGGCAGUCUGCUACACUGUCAUUGACGCUGAGGCACGAAAGCGUGGGGAGCGAACAGG